UACAGAGGUCCCGAGCGUUGUUCGGAUUCAUUGGGCGUAAAGGGUGCGUAGGCGGCUUCCUAAGUUUGAUGUGAAAUCCUGGGGCUCAACCCUGGAACUGCAUUGAAUACUGGGAGGCUAGAGUACUGGAGAGGAACUGGAAUUUACGGUGUAGCAGUGAAAUGCGUAGAGAUCGUAAGGAAGACCAGUGGCGAAGGCGAGUUUCUGGACAGUUACUGACGUGAGGCACGAAGGCCAGGGGAGCAAACGGG
rnacentral:rRNA from 1 species